rnacentral:ncRNA from 1 species
ACGAUUAUUAAACAAGUUUAAUAAUUUAUAUCCAUGUGGUAUAUCCGUGAAUUCAGCGAGACCCUAGCAGGAUUCACAGAACCUCUUCUACACGUCGACAAGAUUCAUUUCUUGUUUUUAUGCCAGCCCCUCUUCAGGCUGGCUUUUUUUAUU